rfam:Ixodes scapularis strain Wikel colony gcontig_1107729089384, whole genome shotgun sequence.
GCCAGGAUGGUCUAAUCGGUUAAGGCGUCGCCUCGGUCAGGCGAAGGUUGCGGGUUCAAUCCCCGCUCCUGGCC